AACGAACGCUGGCGGCAUGCCUAACACAUGCAAGUCGAACGAGACCUUCGGGCCUUGUGGCGCAGGGGUGCUUAACGCGGGGGAACCUGCCCUUAGGUUCGGUAUAACUCCCCGUGGGGGGUGCUAAUACCGGUGAAUCUCUUCGGACCUAAGAUUUAUCGCCUUUGGAUGGGCCCGCGUUAGAUUAGCUAGUUGGUAGGGUAAAAGCAUAGCAAGGCGACGAUCCAUAGCUGGUCGGUGAGGAUGACACGCCACGCUGGAACUGCGACCCGGCCCAGACCCCUACGGAACGCAGCAGUGGGGAAUAUUAUGCGAUGGGCGAUAGCCUGAUCCAGCAGUGCCGCGUGAGUGAUGAAGGCCGUAGGGUUGUAAAGCUCUUUUUCCCGAGAUGAUAAUGACAGUACCGGGAGAAUAAGCUCCGGCUAACUCCGUG
rnacentral:rRNA from 1 species